GUGGGGAAUAUUGGACAAUGGGGGGAACCCUGAUCCAGCCAUGCCGCGUGUGUGAAGAAGGCCUUUUGGUUGUAAAGCACUUUAAGCGAGGAGGAGGCUACCGAGAUUAAUACUCUUGGAUAGUGGACGUUACUCGCAGAAUAAGCACCGGCUAACUCUGUGCCAGCAGCCGCGGUAAUACAGAGGGUGCGAGCGUUAAUCGGAUUUACUGGGCGUAAAGCGCGCGUAGGUGGUUAAUUAAGUCAAAUGUGAAAUCACCGAGCUUAACUUGGGAAUUGCAUUCGAUACUGGUUAGCUAGAGUAUGGGAGAGGAUGGUAGAAUUCCAGGUGUAGCGGUGAAAUGCGUAGAGAUCUGGAGGAAUACCGAUGUCGAAGGCAGCCAUCUGGCCUAAUACUGACACUGAGGUGCGAAAGCAUGGGGAGCAAACAGGAUUAGAAACCCGAGUAGUCC
rnacentral:rRNA from 1 species